AUGAGCGAGUGUAGUUGUUGUCUCGUAAGGAGAUGAACAAAAAAUCGCUUUUAAGAAUAAGCGCUUCCAUGAAAUUUGAAGAAGAAAAAAGCGCUUAUUCUCCGAUUUUUAAGUUACUGCCGUGCUGCUUUAUAUGUUACUCAUCUUCUUCUCACCGCUACCUCACUGUCUCUCUUUCUACUUUCUAA
rnacentral:lncRNA from 1 species